UCACAACAAAAGUAGCUGUGCAGCACGUUUUUUAAGGAAGAGGAGGAUGGUUGCAGACGUUCGCAUUCAUGCAAGAAGGCACUGCAGAGUCUAAGAAGACGCAUGGAAACUCUAUAAGAAACAUAAUUCAAUUUGUAGGCCAGAUUUGAAAAGGAAAUAAUAAAUCCUGAAGCUCAGAUGUCAGACACCGAGGCUGCCAGUACCGUAUACAUAAGUUAGUGUCAUUCAACACCAGCACAUACUUUGGAUACAAGACUGAUGACUCAAUAACUAGUAUUGACAACAGUGAAGAUGUUAUGUCCCAGGGCCAUCAGGUUCAUCAGAGGAAGGCAAUUUCUCUGAAAAAAAUCUGACCGGUAUGCCUAUACCUUACAUACACAUGGACCUAUUCUUAUCUGAUAUGUCAGUGCAUUUUCACUCUGUAGUCAAAUAAAAUGUUAUUGGUCACAUGCACAUGGUUAGCAGAUGUUUAUACGAGUGUAGCGAAAUGCUUGUGUUUCUAUUUCUGAUUUUGCAGUAAUAUCUUACAAGUAAUCUAACAAUU